CGGGGUGUGGCGCAGUUGGCUAGCGCAUCUGCUUUGGGAGCAGAGGGUCCCGUGUUCGAGUCACGGUACCCCGA
rnacentral:tRNA from 1 species